AUCAUGGCUCAGAUUGAACCGCUGGCGGCAGGCUUAACACAUGCAAGUCGAGCGGUAACAGGGGGUGCUUGCACCCUGCUGACGAGCGGCGGACGGGUGAGUAAUGCAUAGGAAUCUGCCCAGUAGUUGGGGAUAGCCCGGGGAAACCCGGAUUAAUACCGAAUACGCCCUACGGGGGAAAGCAGGGGAUCUUCGGACCUUGCGCUAUUGGAUGAGCCUAUGUCGGAUUAGCUAGUUGGUAGGGUAACGGCUUACCAAGGCGACGAUCCGUAGCUGGUCUGAGAGGAUGAUCAGCCACAUCGGGACUGAGACACGGCCCGAACUCCUACGGGAGGCAGCAGUGGGGAAUAUUGGACAAUGGGGGCAACCCUGAUCCAGCCAUGCCGCGUGUGUGAAGAAGGCUUUCGGGUUGUAAAGCACUUUCAGUGAGGAGGAAAACCUUAUGGCUAAUACCCAUGAGGCUUGACGUUACUCACAGAAGAAGCACCGGCUAA
rnacentral:rRNA from 1 species